rnacentral:sRNA from 2 species
AGGGUGAGAACCUUCGAUUAAGGUUCGACUUGAGCGAAAGCGAGAGAACGUUGCCAACGGCAACGGCCCGUAGGGUGAGGAGCGAAGCGACGAAUAAUCCUUCCCCCACCACCA